rnacentral:lncRNA from 1 species
CGAGGGGGCGGGCCCGCUGUCGCCGGGAGCCGCGAGCCCCCCGCCGGGUGGCCGCGGUAAGGAGGGGAAGAUGGCGGAGUGAGAGGAAGAGGCGGAGGGGCCGGGGCCGGCCGGGGCCCCGCGGCCUUGGCCGCGCUCAGCCUCUUGAAGCUGCACAGUACUCGUCAAGUUCUUGUGGAGGGCUCAAAUCAGGGGGGUCAGAACUGACAACAGGAGGAUGGUCCAAGCAGCCUGAAGCCCAGUGCUGGGGAUCGUCUGCUCAGUGCAGGUUUUUUGGAGGUGUGGGUCUCUGCUGCUUGCAGAAAUACAGCGGUACAGUGUUGUGUAGGAGGGUGAAAGCUCGGGGAUACUUUGGUGAGGCUACCAGUAGUUUCUCAUGAUCUGAGAGAUGUGCUCAGAGCAAUACAGUACACUUGUAAUUUAAGCUGGUGGCUCAGCAUCCUUGAGAAAAGGCAUUGUGAUUCCUUGCUGUAGUGGUUUAUGUUAACACAGGAGUUCCUUGCCUUACUGGAGGCUGAAAUUGUUGUGUCGUCCUCAGUUCCUAUGAAAUUGGCACAUGUUGCUUAUUGCUUACUAUAAACUUGUAUAUAUUUUGAAAAAAAACAAUCAAUUAAUUUGAGCAUUGGUGUAUACUUAAUUCUCCAGAUAUAAUGAGUUGAAUAUGGGCUGUAGGCUGUUAUCAGUAAAAACAGAUUCCAGGGGAGAAGGUACUUCAGUACUGCGUAUACUACAUUCUGUGGAAGGAACGAUGCACACGGUUCUACUUCAGGAAGCAGAACAGUUUCUGAAGCAAAGCUUUUCAGGCAUGUUUUGGGCAUGUGCUUCCCACUCCAUCCUAUUGAAGUUUCCCAUCCCAGGCCUUCCAUACUUAGCCCUGACUCACUUAACCAUCCUUUCCCUUAGACUGAAAGAAGGCGGUAGCUGCAAUCAUCUGAAAAGUAACAUGUUUAAUGUAGCAUGUCUAAAAAUGUUAACUAGUUCCUUGAAGAUGUAGUUGAUCUUCUGUGUCUUGUGCAAAUAAUAAUCUAUUAUCUGAAUAGCUUGCUAGAUGCAAAUU